rnacentral:rRNA from 1 species
CCUACGGGAGGCUGCAGUGAGGAAUAUUGGUCAAUGGGCGGGAGCCUGAACCAGCCAAGCCGCGUGAAGGAAGAAGGCGCCAGGCGUCGUAAACUUCUUUUGUCGGGGAACAAAGGGCGCCACGCGUGGCGUUGUGAGUGUACCCGAAGAAAAAGCAUCGGCUAACUCCGUGCCAGCAGCCGCGGUAAUACGGAGGAUGCGAGGGUUAUCGGGAUUUAUUGGGUUUAAAGGGUGCGUAGGCGGUCCGGAAAGUCAGAGGUAAAAGCCCGGGGGUCAACCUCGGCGAGCCGUUGAUACUGUGGAACUAGAGACGGCGAGAAGUACGCGGAAUUCGUGGUGUAGCGGUGAAAUGCUUAGAUAUCACGAAGAACUCCGAUUGCGAAGGCAGCUUACUAAACUGCCACUGACAUUGAUGCUCGAAAGUGUGGGUAUCAAACAGGAUUAGAUACCCUAGUAGUC